GGUCCGGUGGCCUAAUGGUCAAGGCGUUGGUUUUCGGUUGCUGGCAAACACCAAAGAUUAGGUAAGUUGUCUUUUACGAGAGACAUGCAUAAUGAAGUGCUAAUAUUUCGAAGGGGUUCGAAUCCUCUCCGGAUCG
rfam:Rhinocladiella mackenziei CBS 650.93 unplaced genomic scaffold supercont1.2, whole genome shotgun sequence.